rnacentral:rRNA from 1 species
GACGAACGCUGGCGGCGUGCCUAAUACAUGCAAGUAGAACGCACAGUUUAUACCGUAGCUUGCUACACCAUAGACUGUGAGUUGCGAACGGGUGAGUAACGCGUAGGUAACCUGCCUGGUAGCGGGGGAUAACUAUUGGAAACGAUAGCUAAUACCGCAUAAUAUUAAUUAUUGCAUGAUAAUUAAUUGAAAGGUGCAAUUGCACCACUACCAGAUGGACCUGCGUUGUAUUAGCUAGUAGGUGAGGUAACGGCUCACCUAGGCGACGAUACAUCGCCGACCUGGGAGGGUCAUCGGCCACACUGGGACUGAGACACGGCCCAGACUCCUACGGGAGGCAGCAAUAGGGAAUCUUCGGCAAUGGACGAAAGUCUGACCGGGCAACGCCGCGGGAGUGAAGAAGGUUGUCGGAUCGGAAAGCUCCGUUGUACGAGAAGAACGGGUGUGAUAGUGGAAAGUUCACACUGUGACGGUAUCUUACCAAAAAGGGACGGCUAACUACGUG